GGCGCGGUGGCAGAGUGGUCUAAUGCGAUAGACUAGAAAUCUAUUCUCUUCGGAGGCGUCUGUUCGAAUCAGGCCCGCGUCG
rfam:Fusarium oxysporum f. sp. cubense race 1 unplaced genomic scaffold scaffold80, whole genome shotgun sequence.